GACGGAGUCUCACUCUAUUGCCCAGGCUGGAGUUCAAUGGCACCCUCACUGCAAGCUCCGCCUCCCGGUUUCAAGCAAUUCUCCUGCCUCAGCCUCCUGAGUAUCUGGGAUUACAGGCACGUGCCACCACACCCAGCUAAUUUUUGUAUUUUUAGUAGAGAUGGGGUAUCACCACAUUGGUCAGGCUGGUCUUGAACUCCUGACCUCGUGAUCCACCCACCUCAGCCUCCCAAAGUGCUGGGAUUACAGGCGUGAGCCACCGCGCCCAACCUCAGAUUCUCUUAAUAAGCAUAGUUCUAGUAUCACAAAAUGUUUAUGUCACAUGAAGGCAUUUCACUACUCAUACAAUCUGAACAUAAGCAUGAAACAUGUCUUCCUAAUCUAUUUAUAGGUUUAAGUUCUCCUGUCCUCCUCCUUUAAAGGAUUAACCUUGCUUCCAGCCAAAGUUCAUUAAAAAAUUCUUUAUUUAGUAUAUUCUGUCACUCAGAGAGUAAGCUUGAUAAACAUAGGUUGUUUUAAAAUAUUAUAGUAAUGGUUUAUUGAUAGGUAAUUUGGUUAGUAGAGUUAUAAAUACAAAAAGGGAAAGGUUACCAGAAAUAAGACAUUAUUUCUAACAAAUCUUCAAGAAAAUCUUGAUUAUUAAAGUCCCUUUUAUCUUACAAGUGUUGCAUAUACAGUUUUGGCUCUUCAGAGCCCUCUACCAAUAAGGCACCUGCAAUAGUAGAUAAUUUGCUACCGCAGCCUUAGAGAGCAGUUCUUAGAGGUCUGCUGGUGCUUCUCUUGACAAAGCACACUUUUUUUUUGUUUCCCCCGAGACAGAGUCUUGCUCUGUUGCCCAGAGUCGGAGUGCAAUGGCAUGAUCUCGGCU
rnacentral:lncRNA from 10 species